rnacentral:tRNA from 1 species
GGGAAUACGUCCAAGUUGGAGAGUGGAGUCAGUCUGUAAAACUGAUGCCUUGGCUGAAUAGGUUCGAAUCCUAUGAUUCCCA